rnacentral:rRNA from 1 species
AUUGAACGCUGGCGGCAGGCCUAACACAUGCAAGUCGAGCGGAUGAAGGGAGCUUGCUCCUGGAUUCAGCGGCGGACGGGUGAGUAAUGCCUAGGAAUCAGCCUGGUAGUGGGGGAUAACGUCCGGAAACGGGCGCUAAUACCGCAUACGUCCUGAGGGAGAAAGUGGGGGAUCUUCGGACCUCACGCUAUCAGAUGAGCCUAGGUCGGAUUAGCUAGUUGGUGGGGUAAAGGCCUACCAAGGCGACGAUCCGUAACUGGUCUGAGAGGAUGAUCAGUCACACUGGAACUGAGACACGGUCCAGACUCCUACGGGAGGCAGCAGUGGGGAAUAUUGGACAGAGGGCGAAAGCCUGAUCCAGCCAUGCCGCGUGUGUGAAGAAGGUCUUCGGAUUGUAAAGCACUUUAAGUUGGGAGGAAGGGCAGUAAGUUAAUACCUUGCUGUUUUGACGUUACCAACAGAAUAAGCACCGGCUAACUUCGUG